AUUGAACGCUGGCGGUAUGCUUAAGACAUGCAAGUCGUGCGGUAGGGGCUUCGGCCCUGAGAGCGGCGGACGGGUGAGUAACGCGUGGGAAUCUGCCUGCUAGUGGGGGAUAGCCCGGAGAAAUCCGGAUUAAUACCGCAUACGCCCUAAGGGGAAAGCCGCAAGGCGCUAGUAGAUGAGCUCGCGUAAGAUUAGCUAGUUGGUGAGGUAAAGGCUCACCAAGGCGACGAUCUUUAGCUGGUCUGAGAGGAUGGCCAGCCACAUCGGGACUGAGACACGGCCCGGACUCCUACGGGAGGCAGCAGUCGGGAAUAUUGGACAAUGGGCGCAAGCCUGAUCCAGCAAUACCGCGUGUGUGAAGAAGGCCUGCGGGUUGUAAAGCACUUUCAGUUGGGAAGAUAAUGACGUUACCAACAGAAGAAGCACCGGCUAACUCCGUG
rnacentral:rRNA from 1 species